rnacentral:rRNA from 1 species
GAUGAACGCUGGCGGCGUGCUUAACACAUGCAAGUCGAACGAGAAGUGAAGACGGAAACCUUCGGGCGGAAGGCUUUAUUUCGAGUGGCGGACGGGUGAGUAACGCGUGGGUAACCUGCCUCAUACAGGGGGAUAACAUUUGGAAACGACUGUUAAUACCGCGUAAGACCACAGCACCGCAUGGUGCGGGGGUAAAAACUCCGGUGGUAUGAGAUGGACCCGCGUUCGAUUAGCCAGUUGGCGGGGUAACGGCCCACCAAAGCGACGAUCGAUAGCCGAUCUGAGAGGAUGACCGGCCACAUUGGGACUGAGACACGGCCGAAACUCCUACGGGAGGCAGCAGUGGGGAAUAUUGCAAAAUGGGGGAAACCCUGAUGCAGCGACGCCGGGUGAGUGAAGAAGUAUUUAGGUAUGUAAAGCUCUAUCAGCAGGGAAGAAAAUGACGGUACCUGAGGAAGAAGCCCCGGCUAACUACGUG